CCAGACACACUGCUGCCUAACAAAUACAUAUUGGUGAGAAUUGUAAAUAUUUGUACCUCCUUUCUUUCUUUAGUUUAAUAAGGAGGAGUGGAGCUAUGGAAUGGCCAUGUAACCAACAGCAAUAAAGGUACAGUUAGUACUUGGCACUGCAUGCUAGGCUCUCUUUAAUGUUUACCGCUUUCUCUGGCUGGACGGUUAUUUUCUUCUCUAACCUCUCCCAAUUGAAAUGAAGCAUUUGCCUGGCAUCACUUUACUUUUCCUGUGCUGUGCUGUUAUGCUCCCAUCUGCUGCUAGAAGAAGUUGUUGGUACGUGGCUGUGAUCCCAAAUUGGAAUUCUAUUCUUACUCGUGGGGCAACAUAGGCUGCGGUGAGAAAACCCUCUGCCAGAAGCUGGUCUGUGAAUGUAACGAGGCUGCGACCAUUUGUUUCCAAAAGACCGGCUAUAUCUACCAUGGAAAAUAUCUCUAUUUCUCACAAAUGCUCUGCAAGGGACCCUCUCUCCCAUGCUAGG